CCAUGCAUGUCUAAGUUCAAAUGGCCUAUAGAAGGUGAAACCGCGAACGGCUCAUUACAACAGCUAUUAUAUACUUGAUGUUGAUAUCCUACGUGGAUAACUGUGGUAAUUCUAGAGCUAAUACAUGCACCAAAGCUCCGAUUUUUUGACGAGCGCAUCUAUUAGAUUAAAACCAAUCGGGUUUCGGCCCGUCAAUUGGUGACUCUGAAUAACUAUGGCUGAUCGCAUGGUCUUGAACCGGCGACGUGUCUAUCAAGUGUCUGCCUUAUCAACUGUCGAUGGUAGUUUAUGUGCCUACCAUGGUUGUAACGGGUAACGGAGAAUAAGGGUUCGACUCCGGAGAGGGAGCCUGAGAAACGGCUACCACAUCCAAGGAAG
rnacentral:rRNA from 1 species